CCUACGGGAGGCAGCAGUGGGGAAUAUUGGACAAUGGGGGCAUCCCUGAUCCAGCCAUGCCGCGUGUGUGAAGAAGGCCCUCGGGUUGUAAAGCACUUUCAGUGAGGAAGAACGCCUGGUGGUUAAUACCCAUCAGGAAAGACAUCACUCACAGAAGAAGCACCGGCUAACUCCGUGCCAGCAGCCGCGGUAAUACGGAGGGUGCGAGCGUUAAUCGGAAUUACUGGGCGUAAAGCGCGCGUAGGUGGCUUGAUAAGCCGGUUGUGAAAGCCCCGGGCUCAACCUGGGAACGGCAUCCGGAACUGUCAAGCUAGAGUGCAGGAGAGGAAGGUAGAAUUCCCGGUGUAGCGGUGAAAUGCGUAGAGAUCGGGCGGAAUACCAGUGGCGAAGGCGGCCUUCUGGACUGACACUGACACUGAGGUGCGAAAGCGUGGGUAGCAAACAGGAUUAGAUACCCUAGUAGUC
rnacentral:rRNA from 1 species